CAGGCCUAACACAUGCAAGUCGAACGCGUGUAGCAAUACACGAGUGGCGCACGGGUGAGUAACGCGUGGAUAUCUGCCUUUUGGUUCGGAAUAACCCCGGGAAACUGGGGCUAAUACCGGAUGGUUCCUUCGGGAUAAAGAUUUAUCGCCAAAAGAUGAGUCCGCGUCCGAUUAGCUAGUUGGUGAGGUAAUGGCUCACCAAGGCGACGAUCGGUAGCUGGUCUGAGAGGACGAUCAGCCACACUGGGACUGAGACACGGCCCAGACUCCUACGGGAGGCAGCAGUGGGGAAUAUUGGACAAUGGGGGCAACCCUGAUCCAGCCAUGCCGCGUGAGUGAUGAAGGCCUUCGGGUUGUAAAGCUCUUUUGGCGGGGACGAUGAUGACGGUACCCGCAGAAUAAGCCCCGGCUAACUUCGUGCCAGCAGCCGCGGUAAUACA
rnacentral:rRNA from 1 species